rnacentral:rRNA from 1 species
AGAGUUUGAUCAUGGCUCAGAUUGAACGCUGGCGGCAGGCCUAACACAUGCAAGUCGAGCGGUAGCACAGAGAGCUUGCUCUCGGGUGACGAGCGGCGGACGGGUGAGUAAUGUCUGGGAAACUGCCUGAUGGAGGGGGAUAACUACUGGAAACGGUAGCUAAUACCGCAUAAUGUCGCAAGACCAAAGUGGGGGACCUUCGGGCCUCAUGCCAUCAGAUGUGCCCAGAUGGGAUUAGCUAGUAGGUGGGGUAACGGCUCACCUAGGCGACGAUCCCUAGCUGGUCUGAGAGGAUGACCAGCCACACUGGAACUGAGACACGGUCCAGACUCCUACGGGAGGCAGCAGUGGGGAAUAUUGCACAAUGGGCGCAAGCCUGAUGCAGCCAUGCCGCGUGUGUGAAGAAGGCCUUCGGGUUGUAAAGCACUUUCAGCGGGGAGGAAGGCGNCGAUUGACGUUACCCGCAGAAGAAGCACCGGCUAACUCCGUGCCAGCAGCCGCGGUAAUACGGAGGGUGCAAGCGUUAAUCGGAAUUACUGGGCGUAAAGCGCACGCAGGCGGUCUGUCAAGUCGGAUGUGAAAUCCCCGGGCUCAACCUGGGAACUGCAUUCGAAACUGGCAGGCUAGAGUCUUGUAGAGGGGGGUAGAAUUCCAGGUGUAGCGGUGAAAUGCGUAGAGAUCUGGAGGAAUACCGGUGGCGAAGGCGGCCCCCUGGACAAAGACUGACGCUCAGGUGCGAAAGCGUGGGGAGCAAACAGGAUUAGAUACCCUGGUAGUCCACGCCGUAAACGAUGUCGAUUUGGAGGUUGUGCCCUUGAGGCGUGGCUUCCGGAGCUAACGCGUUAAAUCGACCGCCUGGGGAGUACGGCCGCAAGGUUAAAACUCAAAUGAAUUGACGGGGGCCCGCACAAGCGGUGGAGCAUGUGGUUUAAUUCGAUGCAACGCGAAGAACCUUACCUGGUCUUGACAUCCACAGAACUUNNNGGUGCCUUCGGGAACUGUGAGACAGGUGCUGCAUGGCUGUCGUCAGCUCGUGUUGUGAAAUGUUGGGUUAAGUCCCGCAACGAGCGCAACCCUUAUCCUUUGUUGCCAGCGGUCCGGCCGGGAACUCAAAGGAGACUGCCAGUGAUAAACUGGAGGAAGGUGGGGAUGACGUCAAGUCAUCAUGGCCCUUACGACCAGGGCUACACACGUGCUACAAUGGCAUAUACAAAGAGAAGCGACCUCGCGAGAGCAAGCGGACCUCAUAAAGUAUGUCGUAGUCCGGAUUGGAGUCUGCAACUCGACUCCAUGAAGUCGGAAUCGCUAGUAAUCGUAGAUCAGAAUGCUACGGUGAAUACGUUCCCGGGCCUUGUACACACCGCCCGUCACACCAUGGGAGUGGGUUGCAAAAGAAGUAGGUAGCUUAACCUUCGGGAGGGCGCUUACCACUUUGUGAUUCAUGACUGGGGUGAAGUCGUAACAAGGUAACCGUAGGGGAACCUGCGGUUGGAUCACCU